AGUUGGGUUGGUCUAAUGGUAAGAUGCAGGUCUCCAAAACCUUGCGAUGGGGGUUCAAAUCCCUCACCCUUCGCCG
rnacentral:tRNA from 1 species